rnacentral:rRNA from 1 species
CCUACGGGAGGCAGCAGUGCGUAAUUUUGGUCAAUGGGCUCGAGCCUGAACCAGCCAAGUAGCGUUACGGAUGACUGCCCUACGGGUUGUAAACUUCUUUUAUAAAGGAAUAAAGUGAGGCACGUGUGCCUUUUUUUAUGUACUUUAUGAAUAAGGAUCGGCUAACUCCGUGCCAGCAGCCGCGGUAAUACGGAGGAUCCGAGCGUUAUCCGGAUUUAUUGGGUUUAAAGGGAGCGUAGAUGGGUUGUUAAGUCAGUUGUGAAAGUUUGCGGCUCAACCGUAAAAUUGCAAUUGAUACUGGCAGCCUUGAGUACAGUUGAGGUAGGCGGAAUUCGUGGUGUAGCGGUGAAAUGCUUAGAUAUCACGAAGAACUUCGAUUGCGAAGGCAGCCUACUAAACUGCCACUGACAUUGAUGCUCGAAAGUGUGGGUAUCAAACAGGAUUAGAUACCCUUGUAGUC